rnacentral:ncRNA from 2 species
ACACUCUAGAUAUCAAAUAUCUAUAUAUCGUCGUAAUAAGGUCGACAGUUUCUACCCGGAACCAAUUAAUUCUGGACUAUAGGUAAUCGAUGUCAUAAG